AGGGCUGUAGCUUAGUCGGUAGAGCGCUUGUCUCCAAAACAAGAGGUCGGGGGUUCGAUUCCCUCCAGCCCUG
rnacentral:tRNA from 1 species